rnacentral:tRNA from 1 species
GGGUUGCUAACUCAACGGUAGAGUACUGGGUUUUAAAA